UACGUAGGGGGCAAGCGUUUGUCCGGAAUCAUUGGGCGUAAAGAGCGUGUAGGCGGCCUUAUAAGUCGGCUGUGAAAGUCAAGGGCUCAACCCUUGAAUGCCGGCCGAUACUGUGAGGCUAGAGUCCGGAAGAGGCGAGUGGAAUUCCUGGUGUAGCGGUGAAAUGCGCAGAUAUCAGGAGGAACACCGAUGGCGAAGGCAGCUCGCUGGGACGGUACUGACGCUGAGACGCGAAAGCGUGGGGAGCGAACAGG
rnacentral:rRNA from 1 species